UAUGCAGGGCAGGAUGCUGCCUGUAAACAAUUCCACUGACUUGGAUUCCCAUCUCAAAUCGUUUAGAUUUCCAGUCACGCCCUGGAUCUGCAGACUGCCAUCAACACCUGCUUUCCUGCAGUGCCUGGUGCUCCAGAAACCCCAGGCUGCCCGUUGUGAGGCCAGGGAUGCGCAGUUUUUCCAGAGCCAGGCAUUUUACAUUGUUUGUAGUCUGCGUUUUGGUGUCAUUACUCAGUGGUACAAGAGUGCGUGCAUGCGUGUUGGGGGGGAAUAAUUGUGCCAUUAAUGAUUGCUAUUUUGAUUACAGGAUGCAAUUGUCACUGCGGUUGGAAGCCAAUCAACGCGUUGUGAGUGGGAACCUGCUGGUACUUUCCAAUGGUCCUUGAUUAAAAAGGAAGCUCUUGGCUAUCUUCAAGCAGCAGGAGAGGAAACAGCACGGCGAAGCCAAACUUAGGCUAACAGGGAAGGAAUCUACAAGAAAACAGGAUCACUUCUACUCUUUCCCAUCCAGAAAGGCCGGUUAAUCAGGGUCUGUACACACAUGGCCACGUUCUCAUCUUGGAUUACCAUAGAUGGACAAUCUCAGGACUUGGAGGACUGGGAGAAGGCAGCAAAAUGCUUCUGCUCCGGUGGUCAGGGACGACGUGGUGGCCACAGAUGUCAGCUGAGAGUUGUUUUAUAAAAUGAAUCUCUGUAAGCUGCUGCUCUACGGGGAUGGAACAAGAACAGAAGAGCUGUGAAUUCAAGGCCAUCUUGGGAUGAUUUUUCUAGGACAUGGAGUCUCUGCAGUGCCAAGGGACCUCGAUUAGCCCAAACAGCUAAAGCAUUCCAUCUAAAGAGUCUCUGCUCUAAUGCAGGCAUAAGAAUUCAGGACUUUUAUCUGUAGGAAUUCAUCAAGCUGAACCUGGAACUAUUGCCUCAGCAGUAGUUACACAAAACUGAGAAAAGAGGGAAGCUGCUAUAUGUCAUCUACUUAUGGAAGAAAACAUCCUCUGAUUCUACAUCUUCUGAAGGAGUGAUAAACUUAAAACAUGAAGCUACAUUCAAAACUUCUUACCCCAAGACUGCAUGUGUGCUAGUAGCACUGAAAUCAAUAGGAGUCAUUUCAGUGUUUCAAAAUCAGCUUUUAUUCAAAAUCUGGAAUUUUUCCCCCUCUUUCUUUAAGGAAAAAAAAAAUUUUUUGUUUUCCAACCCAUGUGUUAACUUGUCAGAUCAGUUGUCAGCUGCGGUAGAAGCUGAAAGCUUAAUCAUUGUGCUUUUUAUUUUUAUUUAGAAUUGCAUUUAUUUAUUCUUUGUUUCAUCGAGUCUGUUAUCAUAGAAAGAGGAAUUCAUCUUCCAGCAGGGUUAGAAACUUCUCUUCUAAAGUCAAAUUUGCCAUUGCAAACACCUACACUUACCAUGAGAAAUUCUCCCUUACUGCACAUCUGCUAUGCUGCUCUAUCACCCUCUGGCUCUGUUUUCAAUUCUAGUACCACUAAAAAUAAAAGACUUUAUCCAAGAUUUCAGUGUUAAUUGUGACAUUGCAUUUUGCUCCAAUACUAAGCCAUUCUAUGGCACUUAAACAAUAUUUCAUGCAGUGAAUCGUUGUCAGCAUCAGCAAUCAAAGAACAGGAGUUGCUGGAAAAAUUGGGUAUCCAUUUGGGUUGGAUACCAUUCAAGGUCAUCCACGCAGCACUAGAAAUCUUGCUAUCCUUUCUGUUCUAGGGUGCUUUGCAGGGCAUUUGUACCACACGACUUUUCAGGUAUCUCAUUUAUUCAAUUAAUUUAAG